AUGAAUGUCACUAACGUUAUGCUUGUGUUUGGUUUUCCCAGCUCUCGUCCGACUCAGAAGCUGUUUUCUGAGCUGAUUCGUGAUGCUCAUGUUUCACUCCAGAGAUGUAAUAUGGACAAUCUCGACAUGAGUCACAGCACCUCCUCUGGAGCAACACAAACACGAACUCACACUACAGUCAGGAGGGCCGGUGGAGGUCAGGCUGCUCGCCAGAGGGACGCUUCGUCUGUCAAAGCACUACAGAGGAAAACUGAAGCUGUUGAAAAAAGAAGAAAAGCUAAAGAUGAAAAACUAUCUCUCAAUUCAUGUAGCCAAAAGGACAGUGCCAGAACCAAGGGUUCUGAUGGCGGGACUUCUCCAAUUGGGUCCCAGAACUCUUCUGAAAGUUCAGACCUUCUGUGUAUUUCGGACACAUCGGAAACCACGAGGCAUCCCAAACGUCCCGCCCGCCUUCCCCUACCAGCACUCGCUCUGUUUCUGAAACAGCAUUCAACUAAAUUAAAAAAGACCACAAGCAAACCAGAUACUACUCCGGCAGAACCUGCGUCUGGAUCCAGAGGUUCUGAUGCAGUUUCUGAACAGACCGAGCCUGAACCCAUCACUGAGAGCUGCACGACUGCCAGAGUUGAAGAAGCGAGUGAAACUCAUCAAAAGCCUUCUAUUCCUUCAAGUGACGGUUCAGAACCAGAACAACCCAAAUGCUCUUUAGGCUUGGUUUAUGAGAGCUCACCCUCAGAGCCGCUCAUACCUGAUGUUACUCCAGUAUUAGCCACCUCUUCCCUUAGGACACCUACACCCCCCCCUUCUACGUGUACUACCUCAUCAACCAUCCUAAGUGCAGUGUUACCCUCCCAAAACUCACCCCCAACAUUAACACUACCUCCAGAACCCCACCCCCUGAAGACAGAGUCCUCUCUCCCCGACCCAGAAUGCUCAUCUUUUGACUUUGAGCCCCUGUCGCCGGCGAGUUCUCCAGAACCCUUACCGUCUCUGCCAGCUUCGUUAGCGUUGGAGCUCGACUCCACGGCGUCCGAAGCAGCUUUUCCCACCGAAGCGUCUGACGACCUGCUGCCCAACAGAAGCUCCGUCUUCACGUGGCACACAGUGUUGCCUCCGCCAGAGCCGUACGUGGAAACUCCCUUUGCAACAUUUCCGCCCGCUGUCGGAUCCGGCGCACCUUUGCUGCCUUGCCACACUGAACCGCAGGAUCUGAACGCGUCACCGUCUUUGCCUUCCAGCGAGCCUCCUCCGUCAUUUCAAGACUGUGAACAGCUUCUGCCGUUCCCCGCCGAGCUGUCGCCCCUCGCGCUUCAGCUGCCGUUGUCUCCGACCUUCUCACUGGACGGGGAACGACUGUCGCCCACCCCUUCCCUCACCGACCUGGUGCACUUCUUCUCGGUUGAGGAGGACGCUGGGAUCGGGACGACAUUUCCAAACUCUGAACCUCCUGUUCCCAUUUCCCUUCCGACGACCGUGGAGACCCACGAACCGCUACUCCCCGCCCCUCCAGACUCCGUCCAGAAAUGCAGACGCAAGAAGAAGAGGAAGGGGAAGCUGGACGGGAUGAACGAAGAUCAGAAAACAGAAGAAUGUGGUCGUAUGCAGCCUAACAUGGAGGAAGUUGAGGAGCAGUUGUUCAUCUCCUUCACGUCUAAGGUAAAGAGGCAGUAA
ensembl:lncRNA